rnacentral:lncRNA from 1 species
CUCUUACGCGGCCUCCCUGGACUCUGCCUGCUCUGUAUCCUUGGGGCAAGCAGUUCUCAGAGUCUGUGCAGAGCCCAGCUGGUGCUGCAGCUGAGGGAACCGGGCAAGCAUAGAUUCUACUUUGAACAGACAUCUGGAUCAUCCCCAGGUGUGUUGAUUUGAAGAGAAGAGGAACAUCCUGAAAUAGUGGCCAAGAACUCAGAGAACCCAGAGGAGGUUGAAGCCAGAAGAGAGAGGAGUCUAGACACCUGAGUAACAGAGCUUCCUCCCCAGGCUCCUCCUACCAAUCCACAUUAGAUUUUUGACACACAUGGAAAAAAAUGAUAUCUUCCUUUGGAACUGUGUUUUGUUGCACCACUCCAAAUUUCAAGUUUUGUUAUUUUAGUUGCUUACCACCCUGAUAAAGAAUGCAGACAUUUCCUGUCCAUGAUGGAGUUAAGAAUGGUAAUAUUACUAACCAGUACCCCGGAGCUCUUGACUCUAGCUGCAUAUGUAUCAAAAGAUGGC